rnacentral:rRNA from 1 species
AGGGUUUGAUCAUGGCUCAGGACGAACGCUGGCGGCGUGCCUAACACAUGCAAGUCGAACGAGUCCAGUCCUUCGGGACUGAGGCGAGUGGCGGACGGGUGAGUAACACGUGAGCAAUCUAUCCUGUUGCGGGGGACAACGAGGGGAAACCUUCGCUAAUACCGCAUGGUCGAGAGAUCCGCAUGGGUCUUUCGGGAAACGUGGCCUCUUUACAAUGCUACGGUGGCAGGAGGAGCUCGCGGGCUAUCAGCUAGUUGGUGAGGUAACGGCUCACCAAGGCUACGACGGCUACGGGGUCUGAGAGGACGACCCCGCACAUUGGAACUGAGACACGGUCCAGACUCCUACGGGAGGCAGCAGUGGGGAAUAUUGGGCAAUGGCCGAAGGGCUGACCCAGCGACGCCGCGUGUGGGAGGAAGCCCUUCGGGGUGUAAACCACUGUCAGGAGGGACGAAAGAGCUGCAGGUGAAUAAUCUGUGGCAGUGACGGUACCUUCAAAGGAAGCACCGGCUAACUCUGUGCCAGCAGCCGCGGUAAUACAGAGGGUGCAAGCGUUGUUCGGAAUUACUGGGCGUAAAGCGCGCGCAGGCGGGUCCUGUAAGUCGGAAGUGAAAUUUCGGAGCUCAACUCCGAAGCUGCUUCUGAUACUGCGGAUCUGGAGACCGGUAGAGGCUGGUAGAAUUACAGGUGUAGCGGUGGAAUGCGUAGAUAUCUGUAAGAAUACCCGUGGCGAAGGCGGCCAGCUGGGCCGGGUCUGACGCUGAGGCGCGAAAGCGUGGGGAGCAAACAGGAUUAGAUACCCUGGUAGUCCACGCCGUAAACGAUGGGCACUAGGUGCCGGGGGGGAGCGACCCCUUCGGU